rnacentral:rRNA from 1 species
GACGAACGCUGGCGGCGUGCUUAACACAUGCAAGUCGAACGGAAAGGCCCUGCUUGCAGGGUACUCGAGUGGCGAACGGGUGAGUAACACGUGGGUGAUCUGCCCUGCACUUCGGGAUAAGCCUGGGAAACUGGGUCUAAUACCGGAUAGGAGCCAUUUUUAGUGUGAUGGUUGGAAAGUUUUUUCGGUGUAGGAUGAGCUCGCGGCCUAUCAGCUUGUUGGUGGGGUAAUGGCCUACCAAGGCGGCGACGGGUAGCCGGCCUGAGAGGGUGGACGGCCACAUUGGGACUUAGGUACGGCCCAGACUCCUACGGGAGGCAGCAGUGGGGAAUAUUGCACAAUGGGCGGAAGCCUGAUGCAGCGACGCCGCGUGGGGGAUGACGGCCUUCGGGUUGUAAACUCCUUUCGCUAGGGACGAAGCUUUUUGUGACGGUACCUAGAGAAGAAGCACCGGCUAACUACGUG